rnacentral:rRNA from 1 species
UGCGUAGGCGGAAGAUUAAGUCAGUGAUGAAAUCCUGCAGCUCAACUGUAGAACUGUCAUUGAUACUGAUUUUCUUGAAUACAGUUGAGGUAGGCGGAAUAUGUAAUGUAGCGGUGAAAUGCUUAGAUAUUACAUAGAACACCGAUUGCGAAGGCAGCUUACUAAACUGUGAUUGACGCUGAGACACGAAAGCGUGGGGAGCGAACAGGAUUAGAUACCCUGGUAGUCC